ensembl:snRNA U6 U6 spliceosomal RNA
AUGCUUGCUUUGGCAGCACAUAUACUAAAAUUGGAAGGAUACAGAGAAGAUUAGCAUGGCCCCUGC